rnacentral:rRNA from 1 species
UACGUAGGGGGCAAGCGUUGUCCGGAUUUAUUGGGCGUAAAGAGCGUGUAGGCGGCCAUGUAGGUCCGGUGUGAAAACUCGAGGCUUAGCCUCGAGAUGUCAUCGGAAACCAUUUGGCUAGAGUCCGGAAGAGGAGAGUGGAAUUCCUGGUGUAGCGGUGAAAUGCGCAGAUAUCAGGAAGAACACCAAUGGCGAAAGCAGCUCUCUGGGACGGUACUGACGCUGAGACGCGAAAGCGUGGGGAGCGAACAGG